GGAUGAGAACCUCCGGGGGCAAGAGGUUCGACCCGAGCGAAGCGAGAGAACGUUGCGUCAGCAACGGCCCGCUGUAUUGAUUCACGAGAAGUACGAAAAAAACC
rnacentral:sRNA from 1 species